rnacentral:rRNA from 1 species
AACGAACGCUGGCGGCAUGCCUAACACAUGCAAGUCGAACGAGAUCUUCGGAUCUAGUGGCGCACGGGUGCGUAACGCGUGGGAAUCUGCCCUUGGGUUCGGAAUAACAGUGAGAAAUCACUGCUAAUACCGGAUGAUGUCUUCGGACCAAAGAUUUAUCGCCCAAGGAUGAGCCCGCGUAGGAUUAGGUAGUUGGUGGGGUAAUGGCCUACCAAGCCGACGAUCCUUAGCUGGUCUGAGAGGAUGAUCAGCCACACUGGGACUGAGACACGGCCCAGACUCCUACGGGAGGCAGCAGUGGGGAAUAUUGGACAAUGGGCGAAAGCCUGAUCCAGCAAUGCCGCGUGAGUGAUGAAGGCCUUAGGGUUGUAAAGCUCUUUUACCAGGGAUGAUAAUGACAGUACCUGGAGAAUAAGCUCCGGCUAACUCCGUGCCAGCCGCCGCCGUAAUAC